AGCAGCAGCUCAAGAGACUGGCAAGGUGGGGGUGGGGUUAAUACAGCAGGAUUACUUAGGUGGCUUUCCAAUGAGGGCGGUGUGUAGUUUAUUUUCAUCUCAUACUUUUCCUUUAAACAUUCCCUUUAAAUAUUUAAGUUGUAGGAAUGUGUUUCUACCCUGCUGGCCUUAGUGGGUGUCAGUCUUUUGGCCACAGUUAUCUGCAACUUCGAAGAUGUGGUCAAGCCAGGAUGGAGUCCCCAUAAACUUGACUUUGCUGGAGACCCGGAGUACCAGGCCGAGCUUGUGCUGUGUGAUGUAAGGCAGGAGCUAUGUUAUCCUGAGGUUGAAGCCAGUGAGAAGAAAGCUGAUUGAAUCCAGAAGACAAAAAAGAAUGACUGGCUUCCAUUUGUAUGGUGCCCAACUGUUUGGGGCCAUUUGUAAUGUCCAUGCAGUAUUCUUAUAACUUGAUGACAAUAUUUCAGGUGAUACAGUUAAAGGCCCAUUGCAGUUAAAUUACUCAGCCAAGGUCGCAAGGCAGCAGGGGGCAGGCCAGAACUGAAGCCGGAGGUUCUUGCCUUCUUUUCUACCCUUCUUGUGAGGAGAGGGCUGUCUUAUAUGCCCUACAUGGGAGGCUUAGGUGUGUGGACGGUUUAAGUUUCCAUCAGAAGUGGUUACACCGGGGUUUCAUGAAGAAGUGAGCUUUGAACCACCAGCUCCGAAGUCACAGCUUAUUCUCUAAGAAAUUAAAGAUAUUUGUUAAGAAAUAAAAAGCAUUAGUUUCCCUUAA